GGCCGCCUGGCGAAAUGGCAUCGCGUCUGACUACGAUACAAUUGAAUUUGUAAGGUAAUCAGGAGAUUGCAGGUUCGACCCCUGCGGUGGUCA